UUUCACAGUUUUUCAUAAAUAUUAAUAUUAAAACUGCCUACUACUUAAUGGCUGACAUCAAUAACCUCUUACUGAGUGAUACACAGGGUAGGUCUAAACAAAUUCAAAAUACAUAUUCUCAAAGAACCUGGGGAUAAGAUCAAGUUGUGGCAGCCGCCUUGUGGGAUUGUCCAUAGAAAUCUUUUCUUCUGCUCUAUACAUGGAACAUGGCAUUCAAACAGCAAUGGGGAGAAGACUUCAGUACAAAGAAAAAUUAUUCUUGCACAUCCUUUGUGAGAAAUCUAAACCAACUUAAAUUAUUUUUAAAUUUCUAAAUUGUCAACUCAAACGUUAAUGUGCGUGUUUUACCUAAAAAUGUAAAAACAUGAAGAAGCCUGCUUGAGGAAAGCUUUCUCUUAAAUAUAUGUAUAUGAGGAGCCUUAAAUCCCUUAUAUCUGUAGGGAACCAAACAAACAAUUAUGUGUAAUGGUGCGAGAACAGAUAUUCGAAACACAAAAUAGGUUUGUAUCUAAUCGAGAAAGAAAAAACGCUGUGCACUCGCUGUGCACCGAAACGCGCGUCGGGCAACGUUUGAUCUUCACAGGGCACCUUUACAUGCACUCACGUUGGUGUAAUUUAUCAUGCAUAUUUUAACAUGAUAUAAUGGAUUAACACGUUAAUUUUUCUUUCACUCUAUUUCCAAUCUCUGACUAUUUACUUAGUUUACCAGGGAGAGAGGCUUUUCUUUAUCUAUGCUUCACUAUCUCUAAGCAUGUAAGAAUACAGUACUACAGGAGAUUUCUAUUAUAAAAUGUACCUUGCUCUGCCUAAAUUCACACAUUGAUGCUAGUAAUUACAACUGAUGAGGAAAUGUUUAAACUUAUGAGCAAAUGUUUGAAUUAAUUGGCUUUAAGGUGACUAUUUACUGACUCCACAUAUUGGAGUGACUACUCAUAAUAGCAAGUACUGGAAACCAAUCUCCUUAACAUUUUUUCUAACAGCACAACAUUCUGGACUAUCAACUAACACACGACUCUUUUUAGGAUCCCUCCAACUUCUG